rnacentral:rRNA from 1 species
GAUGAACGCUGGCGGCGUGCCUAAUACAUGCAAGUCGAGCGAACUGAUUAGAAGCUUGCUUCUAUGACGUUAGCGGCGGACGGGUGAGUAACACGUGGGCAACCUGCCUGUAAGACUGGGAUAACUUCGGGAAACCGAAGCGAAUACCGGACAGAAUCUUCUCCUCCAUGGGAGAUGAUUGAAUGAUGGUUUCGGCUAUCACUUACAGAUGGGCCCGCGGUGCAUUAGCUAGUUGGUGAGGGAACGGCUCACCAAGGCAACGAUGCAUAGCCGACCUGAGAGGGUGAUCGGCCACACUGGGACUGAGACACGGCCCAGACUCCUACGGGAGGCAGCAGUAGGGAAUCUUCCGCAAUGGACGAAAGUCUGACGGAGCAACGCCGCGUGAGUGAUGAAGGCUUUCGGGUCGUAAAACUCUGUUGUUAGGGAAGAACAAGUACGAGAGUAACUGCUUGUACCUUGACGGUACCUAACCAGAAAGCCACGGCUAACUACGUGCCAGCCGCCGCCGUAA